UACGUAGGGAGCAAGCGUUGUCCGGAUUUACUGGGUGUAAAGGGUGCGUAGGCGGCCCUGCAAGUCAGAAGUGAAAUCCACGGGCUUAACCCGUGAACUGCUUUUGAAACUGUAGGGCUUGAGUGAAGUAGAGGCAGGCGGAAUUCCCGGUGUAGCGGUGAAAUGCGUAGAUAUUAGGAGGAACACCAGUGGCGAAGGCGGCUUGCUGGACGAUGACUGACGUUGAGGCUCGAAAGCGUGGGGAGCAAACAGG
rnacentral:rRNA from 1 species